rnacentral:lncRNA from 1 species
UUCCUGACCCUGCUGUUGCAUUUCCAUCAGGAGCCUUGAACUAUUCUAGUGUAGUUGAUCUAUCAGUCUCUAAAGGCCUACUGGUAUAGGCACCUAAUGCUCUCGUUCGGAUGGCAGUCUCCCAUUUCUCAUUGUCUGCUAAGGACUCAAUCUUUUCCUUCUUCAUCUCUUCCUUUUUAGAUUUCUUUCUUUCCCUCUUCUCUACUUU